UACGGGGGGUGCGAGCGUUGUCCGGAUUCACUGGGCGUAAAGAGCGCGUAGGCGGCCGAGUAAGUCCGACGUGAAAUCUGGAGGCUCAACCUCCAGCGGUCGUUGGAAACUACUCGGCUAGAGUCCGGAAGAGGAGAGUGGAAUUCCUGGUGUAGCGGUGAAAUGCGCUGAUAUCAGGAAGAACACCGAUGGCGAAAGCAGCUCUCUGGGACGGUACUGACGCUGAGGCGCGAAAGCGUGGGGAGCGAACAGG
rnacentral:rRNA from 1 species